CCCCAAGACUCUAUAUUCUUCAGAUUAGGGGUGAAGGCACCUCAGUAACUGGGCAAGGGAUCAUGAAGAGCAAAUGGGGAGCCCUUCUGGGGUUUCUGUGGGUCCAGAUUUGCUGGGUGAGGGGAGUGAAGGUGGAGCAGAGUCCUUCAGUCUUGAGCCUCCAGGAGGGAGCCAACUCUACUCUGUGGUGCAAUUUUUCGAACACGGUGAACAGUGUGCAGUGGUUCCAGCAGAAUCCCGGAGGCAGCCUCACCAGGCUGUUUUUCAUAGCUUCAGGGACGAAGAAGAAUGAAAGGAUGAGUUCCACAGUGAAUUCUAAGGAGCGGUAUAGUACCCUACACAUCACAGCCUCCCAGCUGGAAGAUGCAGCCACCUACCUCUGUGCGGUGGAGGCACAGUGCUCCCAGGCAGCCUGCAGCCUGUACCCAAAUUGCAGCUGCCUCAGCCCCGGCCCUCCACAGUACUACACCGUCCAAGUACCCUUGUUACCUCUUUGGGUUUCCAGAUUCAUAAUUCAGCAUUUUUUCCUCUGAAGAUCAGAUCCUUCAGGACUGUCAUUUCACUUUUUUUUUUUUUUUUGCCCUUCUUCUUCCCAGAAAUCUCUCAUGGAUACAAAGCUCUAAUAUGGAGCCAUUGUCAUAACUGAUGUAGAUGCCAAUGUUCAAUGUCCUGUUAAAACAAUCUAGUGCACCUGACAGAUAAAAUGUAAGCUACAUAUAAAUUUCUGUGAUGGAACAUGCUUGGAAAAAUAUAUGGUGAUCAACAAAUAGAAAGAGAUGACUCAAUUUUUUGGUUAACUGCACGUGUGUGUUCCUUCAAAGUGAAAAGGGAAUUGAAUGUAAUGUUUUUAAAGUCUGUAUUCAGAUUUUUUAGUCCUGGUAUCCUUUUGAACUGUGGUGUUGGAGAAGACUCUUGAGAGUCCCUUGGACUGCAAGGAGAUCCAACCAGUCCAUUCUG